AAGUCGUAACAAGGUAACCGUAGGUGAACCUGCGGUUGGAUCAUUAACAAAUCCAAUCUCAAACUCUGGGCAGAACCGUAACUGGUGAUGCUCAUUGUUUUUGAAACACCCUGUGAAUUGUAUAUUGUAUUUUGGUGGGGUCUCUCUCAUGAUCGGGUUCACGCCCGGUCUGAGCGUCUUUUUCUUUGGGCAGUUUCUGCCUAAAAGGGAAGCCCCACCAGCUUAAUUGAACUUGCAUGAAUUUAUACCAACCUAGUCUUAAUGAAAGUUUUAUACUUGAAUUUUAUAAUUUAACAACAACUUUUGGCAACGGAUCUCUAGGCUCUU
rnacentral:misc_RNA from 1 species